AAGUCGUAACAAGGUCUCCGUUGGUGAACCAGCGGAGGGAUCAUUACCGAGUUUACAACUCCCAAACCCCUGUGAACAUACCUACAACGUUGCCUCGGCGGCUCCCCGCUUCCCCGUAAAACGGGAGCGGCCCGCCAGAGGACCCAACAAACUCUGUUAUUUUCAGUAUCUUCUGAGUAAAAACACAAUCAAUUAAAACUUUCAACAACGGAUCUCUUGGUUCUG
rnacentral:misc_RNA from 1 species